CUUUGAUGAUGACACCCGCACGCGUCUUACGCCAUGCGUCGAUGCCAGACCUGCAAAGGUGAACCCACUGGUGUUGCCAUGGCAACAAGGGGACACCUUGUUGGGGUUUCCAACAGUCUGAAAAAG
rnacentral:snoRNA from 1 species